GUGGGGAAUUUUGCACAAUGGGCGGAAGCCUGAUGCAGCGACGCCGCGUGGAGGAUGAAGGCCUUCGGGUUGUAAACUUCUUUUGCAGGGGACGAUGGUGACGGUACCCUGCGAAUAAGCCACGGCUAACUCUGUGCCAGCAGCCGCGGUAAGACAGAGGUGGCGAGCGUUGUUCGGAAUUACUGGGCUUAAAGGGCGCGUAGGCGGUGGGACAAGUCUGAGGUGGAAUCCGGAGGCUUAACCUCCGAACUGCCUUGGAAACUGUACUGCUUGAGUUAGACAGGGGAAGGCGGAAUUCCUGGUGUAGCGGUGAAAUGCGUAGAUAUCAGGAGGAAGGCCUGUGGCGAAGGCGGCCUUCUGGGUCUUAACUGACGCUGAGGCGCGAAAGCGUGGGGAGCAAACAGGAUUAGAAACCCUGGUAGUCC
rnacentral:rRNA from 1 species